ACAAUGCCUAGGCAAAAACCAGGCACAAACACAAUAGUCAUAAUAAACGAGUGAAUAAUACAUCCCUGACCAUAAUUCCAGUGCACUCCAACAAAAGAAUAUCUAAUUCCUGUCACAGAAUUGCCUUGUAGGUUGAAGUUCAGCAUAUAAAUACACAUGGGAAAAAGAUUAGAUUUUAAUUGAUAAGUAUUAAUCAUCAUUCACUGUUGUCUCUGCAGGAAGCCCUGUGUUAAAACAUCUAGUUAAUAUGCAGUAUAAUGGAUAACCUUGAGGCAGAAGCUCUUGCAUCUGUCUCUAUCCAAGAAAAAAUGUCAACAUCAGCCUUUGUUGUAGCAAAAUACCCUGACAUCUGAAUGGAGUUGCUGCUGCUGGAAAAUUGACUGUCCCCAGUGCAAUCCUUCCUCAGGUAGAGAUAAACCCAGUCUUAUCUUUAGAUGAAGAAACUGUUAAGAAGUUUCAGGCACCGGACAUUUAUGAAGAAAGAAAAUAGAAAUGUGAUCCAUUCUUUUUUAAAGCGCUUCUCUACUACCGAGUUUGUGGUUUCUUGCCUUCCACAUGAUACAACCAGCUUCCGACCCUGAGAUUUCCUCCCUUCAAUCUACAUUUCUCAUGAAACUCAAUCUCCAAGCCUGAAACCAACUCUCACUAAUCUGUUGUCUGUUAUCAGUAUACUCACAGGUAUAUUUAUAAACUAGGGAGGACAUACAUGUGGGUAGUAUGCACAUCUCUCACUUGAGUUUGCCUCUGGCAGUUGCCAUUGAAACCACUGAAAGCAGAACAGAAAUAUUAAGCUCAGCAUUUUCCAAAUGGGCUCCAGCUUUGGAUGGCUUACUUGAUAUCAUUCACUUCCAGUCAAUAAAAAUUAUUUCUUCACACAAUCAGAUUUUAUCCCACCUUUUACACAGACAACUUAGAUCUCAAGGGAGCAGCUUAAGGAGAGAUAACGCACAAAGGCAAACAGGACAGGUUAACUACAUUUCACCUCUGUCCUGCUUGUACAUGGCUGUAAACUUGUGUGAUCACCUCCAACACCUAUUUCUAUCACUUUGCAUUUUCUCUCAUUACUGGAUAUAAGCAUUACUU